rnacentral:rRNA from 1 species
UACAGAGGCCUCGAGCGUUAGGCGGAAUCACUGGGCUUAAAGCGUGUGUAGGCGGAUGCCUAAGUACCUUGUGAAAUCCCACGGCUCACCCGUGGAACGGCUGGGUAUACUGGGUGUCUUGAGCCACUUAGGGGCUGCCGGAACAAAUGGUGGAGCGGUGAAAUGCGUAGAUAUCAUUUGGAACGCCAAUGGUGAAAACAGGUCGCUGGGAGUGUGCUGACGCUGAGACACGAAAGCCAGGGGAGCAAACGGG